UCUAAUUCACUCGAAACAUGGAAUUAGUAAUGAACAAAAUCCUGAAACCUUGAUUUUCGUUUGAUUUUUCUUGGUAUGACUAUUGCUCAAUAAACAUUAUUAAGUCUUUAUGUGUCUUCCUUUUCUCCUGAAUUCCAAUACCUAUCUUUUGCAGAACAUGAGUUGUGAUACAUAGGACCGCUACAUGUUUUCUACAACUGUAUUUGCUUGAUUGAGAUGGCAAGGCAAGCUGGGUCAACUGAGACUGCAAGUUGUCUCAAGUAAGAGGAAACUAAUCAACGUGCAAAACUUUGUGAUUUAAUUAUGUGACAGAAUGUAUAGUUGGUGGAUUUUGUACUACAUAUAUGUAUUCCCACCUAGCUUUGAAUUAAGGAAGUUUCUUCAAACUCUCAAGCGAGCAAUUGGUGUUUGAGUCUGAAAUUGGGUGAUAUAAGAAGAUUAUAAGCCAAAGAGCGUACCAGUUCUGCCAUGGAUAUGAACCCCAAUUGACGUCAACGCCUUGGAAAAAAACCCCUCUCUAUUCUGCCUUGACCUGACCCCAGAUCUGUUUCUUUCAAGACAUGACUCCCCAGUCUAACAACACAGCCAAAGCUAAAGCAAUUAGGGGUGGGCGCGGUGCGGUUCGGUUCGGUUUGAGGCCCAAACCGCAAUCAAACCGCUUUUUUCGGUUGGCCGAUAUAUCAAACCGUAACCGCAUUACAAAAGGGCUGAACCGAUUAUUUCGGUUACACCAUUUUUCCGUGCGGUGCGGGUCGGUUUCGGUUUGGAGCAAUUUAUUAAUUUCAACUAGAAAGAGAGGGCCAAAAUCAGGCUUAUUUUUACCUAAC